AGACUCGUAGCUCAGUUGGAAUGAGCGUCGUCAGCAAUGACGAAGGUCGCAGGUUCGAGUCCUGCCGAGCUUU
rnacentral:tRNA from 1 species